AAGAAAUUUUAAAAAAACUAUCCAGGUGUGGUGGCUAACGCUGUAAUCCCAGCACUCUGGGAGGCCAAGGUGAGUGGAUCAUGAGGUCAGGAGUUCAAGACCAGCCUGACCAAUAUGGUGAAACCCCAUCUCUACUAAAAAUACAGAAAUUAGGGGCCGCGGUGGCUCAUGCCAGUUGUCCUAGCGCUUGAGGAGGCAAGCCUAUGUGUUCGAGGCCAACCAACCGGGGCAACAUAAGAACGUCUUUCACUAAAAAAAAAAAAUACAAAAUUAGCCAGGCGUGAUGCCGCGUACCUGUAGUCCCAGCUACUCAGGAGGCUGAGGCAGGAGAACCGCCUAAACCAGGAGGCGGAGGUUGCAGUGAGCCAAGAUCAUACCACUGCACUCUUGCCUGGGCAAUAGUGAGACUCCAUCUCCGCUCCCCCUCAAAAAAGAUAAAGUACAGGGGACUUUUAGGGCAAUGAAACUAUUCUGCAUGAUAUUGUAAGGGUAAAUGUAUAUAUAUUUUUAAUAACCAAAUAGAAUUUAUGACACAAAGAGUAAGUAUACUUUAAGGUAAGCUAUAGGCCGGGAAUGGUGGCUCAAGUCUAAUCCAGCACGUUGGGAGGCUAAGGUAGGUGGAUCAUCCAAGGUCAGGAGUUUGAGACCAGACUGACCAAAAUGGUGAAACCCCAUCUCUACUAAAAAUAAAAAAAUUAGCUGGGCAUGGAAGUGUGCGCUGUAAUCCCAGCUACUCCAGAGGCUGGGACCACAGGCACGCACCACCAUGCCCAGCUAAUUUUUAUUUUAUUUUAUAUUUUUAGUAGAGACGGGGUUUCACCUUGUUGACCAGGAUGGUCUCGAUCUCUUGACCUUGUGAUCCACCCUCCUCGGCCUCCCAAAGUGCUGGGAUUACAGGUGUGAGCCACUGCGCCCGGCUGUUUCUUUCUUUCUGUCUUUUCUUCAUUUGUAAUU
rnacentral:lncRNA from 1 species